AAUAAAAUAAAAUAUUCAAGCAGAGACUGAAUAAACAACCAAUUCACAAGGUGUCCCAAGUAAAUGAAAAACCAACUCUAACUAGAUUAAAUGACACAAGAAUAUCUUGUUUCAUGUAACAGAAAGUUCAGAUGUGAGGCAGGCUGCAGGCAUAGCAUGAUCAAGGCUCCAGUCCACUUUCCUCCCAGCUCUACCCCCCUCUUCAUGUUGGCUUUAUCCUUAGACUCUAUUCUCUCAUUGUCAAAGGAGGGUUGUCAAACCAAACAAAUAAGCUUUGAGACAACAUGUUUAUUUGGUCAUGUCUAGUGGAAGGAAGAGAAAAUCUUUCAACCAUGGGAUGUAUGUCCUUUCCUUCAGUCCACUUGGCCCAAUUAGGCCAUGCAUCCAUCUCUGGAUCUAAGGCCCUGACACGAAAGCCGCAUGGUGGUUGGCUUAGGCUAGAUCCUUUAGCCAGUCGCUGAUAAGGAGAAUGUCAUGAUUAACUCAGACCAGUCAGGACUUCCCUUGGAGGGAGCUGGGGAUGGAGCAGCUUAGCUUCAGUCAAAAGAGAGGCAAGGAUAUUGAGUGACUACAUGAACAAAAUCAGGAUCUAACAGAAAGGAGGAGAAGGGAGAAAUCAAACCAGAUAGGCAACCAACAGUGCCUAAGGCAGCAAAAAAAAAAAAAGAUGGAUUAAGUCCUUAUUAAAUUCUAAUGGGAUAACUAAAAAAUUAAUUUAGACCCUUACCUCUCACCAUAUGAGAAAUCCUUUGUACUCUAGAUCAGGAGUGUUUGUGAUUCUGGGUCCAUCAUCCCAAGUGAGGCAGAGGGCUCCAGAAUGGAGAUCCCCGGGGGUCUUCCUUCACGGGCUAUUACUUUGGGCUGGUUCACACUGGCAGGACCUUGACCUCUUAGGUCCUUUCAUUCCCUCUCCCCUUCUGUUCCUCUUCCUUCCCCAUCCUUCCACGUAAUGCCGACCUUUGUCACCAGUGGGUGGUGCUACAUUUUUACUGUAGGACUUCAGACCCCCUGUCCACAAUUAGUCGAUCCCAGAACCACCUGCACCCAGGGAUUCCCAGGGAGAACUGUCAACACUAAUCCCUCUGUGGACCUGACCUGGUAUUACUACAGCUGGAAAACAAUUACCUCCCUUUUGUUCCCUGAAGUCUGAGGACCUCCACCCCCCUCAGGCAAAUUCCAAGUGUGAUACAGGUUUUUUCCUUCCUAGCUGUGCGUUCCAUGGGCUAUAGAGCACGGAUUACUAUGAAUUUCAUUUCAUUACCAUUGAAUGUAAGAAGCAUCACACUUCUUUACUUUUCUAUAUCAAAUUAAAAUGGAUCUUGCCCCCCAUCCCCCACCUUAACAAAGACAAUAAGUGUGUCCAUCUCGGUCCUGGAGGAGCCCCGUUCUGUGACGGUCUUCAACAGUGCACAGUGUUUGGGCUCACCAGUCAUGCUGAUGUGUGCACUGUCCAAGCUGCAGCGUUCCUUCAGGGCAAGCAGCUCCCAUGCCCUCCUGCCCAGCUUGACCCCCCGCCCAGCCGCCCAGGAUGCAUCAUGCAGCCUCUCCCCUCUGUGGUUUUGCUCUGGAAGGAGACAAGUUCCGCUCAAGGGACCCCAAGUUUCUAACCUAUCAAUCUUGGAAAUGCCCCCUCUCCCUCCAGGUGGACCCCUGUGGCCUCAUCCCUCAUCACUUCCCCCCCACCAGUCCCAUCAGUUUCUCCUCCCCCGGUAGGGUCCCUCAUAAUCUCUCCUCUAGGGGUUUUGAAAUGACAUGGGCCUGCCUUUCCUGAAGACAGACGUGGGAAACAGACAUACUGAAACUAGUCCUUUUUUUUUUUUCUUUUUGUUAACAUAAGUUAUUUCAGUAGUCUAGGGGAGAACCUAAAGGUAAGGUUUGAACUGUCCAGAGAAUCGGGGAGUGCAGAUGAAAUGUGAAUCUCAGACCCCAGACUCUAAGAGACAAGGGCUAGUCCACUUGAUACUUAUGCUCUGUCCUUGAGCAGGAGCUUAUGUUAACACUCAUCGACAUUAGACGUAGGACUCAAGGAAGGAGCUCCAGCGACGGCAGCGUGUGGUAGCCCCCUCCGCCCCCCAGGGAGCCCAAGCAGUGGGGGCAGAGAACAGACACCCACCUCUCACUGUGGAAAUGCACCGUCUUGUCCUUUGCCUUUGGUUUAACCAAGAAGAAACUACAAUACUUGUGGAUGAAGGUACUGUCCUGGAGGCUGUCCAGAGAAAGGCCAAUGGACAGGUCACAAGUGACGGAGGCAGGCAUGAGGGCCCUGGAGCACCUGCUGUGGGCAUUCAUGGGACCGGCAGGUUAUUCCGGAUGAGUGGCCAUCACGUUCCUUGUUCUGCCUGAGGUAAUUGCUAUGAAUGUGCCUCAUUCACUACUUAGCAUAAAUUAGGCUUUCGAAUCUUAGCUAAAGGUUUGGGAAAAUGCACGUGUGCAGCGUUAGAUCUACUAGCAGAGAUCUAGUAGAUUCCCACAGCUAGAUCUACCAGCAGAGGUCAGCUUUAGCAGGCAGUAACAACAGUUGGAGGGUACGUGUGUGUGUUUAAUGAGCUGCUGAGAUCAAUUGUUGUCGGUAUGAUUCUCUCCAAUGCGUUGGAGAAUUGUUUCCUUGCCUGCAAUCACGUCCAUUUGGUAAGGACCGUUCGUGACUCAGCGGUCCUGAGAAGCAUAUGGAUUUUCCACCCUAAACCAAGUUCGUGAGCCCUAGCUUUUCACUAGCUUACGUGCUUUUCUUCCCUCCCUGCAAAGUACAAAUCUAAUUCUAAUAGCACUCCCCUGUGUGUGCUGGCCAAGAACCCCAAGGGCCCGAGUUAUGGAUCGAUUAGUCAUCCUACUAAAGCACAAUUCAAUUGGCUUCAAGUCAGUGGGAGGGCUGACCCAGCCAGACCCACACCUUCAUGCGGCCGUGUUGGUCUUGACAGAUUUCUGCCAGGUACACUGUCAUCCUCCUCAAGCAGCGGUGAUCAGCCGAGGUGAUGUUGCCCCCAGCAGCAUGUCUGGAGACAUUGCUGGUUGUCGCAACUAGGAGGAAGAUGCUACUGGUGUCUGGUGGGUAGAGGUCAGGGAUGCUGCUGAGCCUCCUACCGCACACAGGACAGCCCCCCAGUGACACAGGACAGCCCCCCAGUGACAAAGACUCAUCCGCCUAAAAUUUCAAAAGUGCCAAGUUUGAGUAUGGGCCUGCCCGGAAGGAAUGAUUAAGAAAUAAACAUUCGGUUUAUUUGUAAGCAUCGUCCGCACUUUUGUUUGGGAUAUUCAGAUAACCAUCUAGCAGAUGUCAUUAUAGAAAUGCUGUAAUGUGUAGAGCCGAUGUGGCAGAAUGUAGUUUACUCUACCAACGUACUUCGGGCUCAGUACUAGGGCACGACUGGGGAUCUCAAGGAGACACUUGAAUUUUUCAGCUGGACUUAAUUCCAUCUUGUGUGGGGUAUUAUGUAUUAUUUGGGACUUGGAAGCUUCGGAGUUCUGAAGAUGUGAAUCAGAAUUAGCUACCUGCUAUCCAGUUACUUGUCUGUGCCAGGCUCAGCAGCGGGCACUUCAAUCCCCCUCGCCCUUUCAAGGUGGAGCACUGCCAACCCCAUUUUGCCGAUGCAGGAGUGGAAAGUUGGUGAAUGAUGAAACAGGGAUGCAAACCCAAAUCUCAGAGCCUUUACUCAUUCCUCUGAGGUACACAACCCCCAGGGACCACCAAAUUCUUCUAACCCUAGAACCAACAUAUCUGAGCAACAGGAAAGGUAAAGUAACUGGGAGAUAACCGGGAACAUCUUUAUCUGAAAUGUGCCUACAUCACUCCACAUGUGCUGAGUCUCUGCUUCCCUUCUUGGGUGUGUGCAACGUGGCUGGAAAGGGUCGUUCGGGUCAUUUCUACAAACCUCCCAUCAUGUGGAUAAUUCAGGCAAAGCAGAAACUGGGUUUUUCUUGAAUUACCUAGACAAGAGUAGCUGAAAGGACAGUCCCGCACCCCUUAACAUGAUCAGGCUACAGAAUUCAAUGCGGUCCCGUGGCUUCCGGCCUGAGAAGCACCCACUUGUGCUCUUUGUCCGUGCCUGUCCCAUCAUUAUUUAUCAUUCUGGCUUUGGGGGAAUCUCAUCAAGUUUUCUUAAGAACAAGCAAGAAACGAGUCUAUUCUGGAAAUUGUAUCACAUUCAACUCCAAAUUAAUUAACAGCCCCUGACUGUUUUUUCACAAGAUUUCGGCACAGAGCUAGUGUCAGGGCGGAAGGGAGACAGGCUGUGUCUCCCAGGCGCCCCCGAGUAUGGCCCAUCAGGAUUCGGGGGACACGUGGUAACGAUAGUUGGGGACCCGCCGCACACCGCACAUCUCUCUGAUGGGGAGGUCUGCUUCUUCUUCGAACGGAACACAGCUACCAGAUUUCAGAGCUCAGGGGGUGGUGUUGAGCUUCUGCACAUCCUGACAAACGUGAAAGCUUCAUCUUCUCUGUAGGCACUUUAUAGAUUUAUUACAAAGGGCGUGCCUUGAAAACCGUCUUGGGAUCUACGUUCUUAUUCGUCUGGUGGAGAAGAGCUGGUAUCGGGGGCCUGGAUCGUUGUACUUGCAGUGUGCCCUCCAAACCCCGAAGGCUUCCUUCCGCUGGAGAAUUUUGUUUUGGUGAUUUUGUGUCUAGAACCCAAUUAUCCUGAGCUCUUUUCAAGUAAAGCUGUACAAACCCAGAGACCAUUUCAGCAGGGAAGCUGCACCCCGCUCCAUCCCUGCCACCAGUGCUGAGGGAUGCACGGGACGCACAGGGUCUGCCCGGCUAUGCUGCUCUGGAUGGUGGUGCCUGUCGUUAACUACACAGAGUCUGGUUUUUUUAAACCCCUCUGAAAGCUUCUAGGUCAUGAUUUCUUCAAAGUCGGACAGCUGCAUCAUCUGCUCCACUUGCAUAGAGUGCCUCCUGAGGAGCUUCCUUUUACUUCUCAAGUCAACUCUCUUUGGUGAACUUGGAGCAACGGGAACCAUGGGUUUUAAGCCGCUCGCAAGUGGAGCAGGUUUGCUGCUAGAUCUGAUGUCAGGGAUAGGUGGGUUCACACUUACAUUUAAAGGCGGAAGGAAGCCGGGCCUGGUGUGCGAAAUUCGGUCCAGCAGCAGAGUUCCAGAACCUCGCCUUUCCAGGAGAUGCGGUGGCCUGCGGCGCGCCGAGUUGGGGGACGUGCUGGGCGCAGCGUCCAGGGACUCCCGCGAGCCGUGGAAGAGAGCCAGGAGGGAGCCGUUGAGCCUCUUCCUGUCCGAGGGCCCUUUGCUUGACUCCAGGGAACCCGAGCUGAGCUGGUCAGCCCCUGCCUGUAAGUCUAAAUCAUGCAGAUCACUCUCUAGCCGUUUGAGGGACACUGAAUCUUUGAGAGCAGGGGGCCCUGCUGGACUGACACCUGCCUUCUCCUGGUCGACAGGGAGAGUUCCUCUUCGGGCCAGACGAGGGUGGGAAGACUGACCCUUCUCAUAGGCUGCCUUCCAGGAUGCUGGUGCCGGGGAGGCUGGGAUCUUCAGAACCUGCUCCGUGACUGUGGGAAAGAGGGUGGGGUCUUUGCCAUCGAUACUGUUGGUUCUGGAGAGCGGCCCCUUUUUGGGGAAGGACACAUCGCUGAUGCUCUUGAUGACCUCACUGUCCGGGCUGGGGCCGUGGGUCUCGUCCUGACGUAUGUUAGCAGCCAGCACGGACGGUGCAAUCAGGCCCCAGGGUUCAGACUGGAGCCUCUUCAGCUGGGGCAGGCGGGCCCUCUUGAGGUUCCCUACUUUCCUGGUGGGUGACCCAGGCUCAUUCAGAGACUUGGCGGUGUUGCAACCACUCAGAUGCCCUGUUUGGAGGCUGAAGAGAUCAUCUUCCCUCUCAUUGGGUGGAGAGCCCAGGCCUGGAGCCUUCAGUUCGAUCUCCGAAGGAGACAUGCACAGUGGAGGCAUCAAGCAGGUGCUUCAGGGCGUCUUUGUCAUCUGCGUUGAUCGCGUAGACCAGGGCCGAAGCCCCAGUGCGGUCCUCGAGGCUGGGGUCCGCCCCGUUCUCCAGGAGUAGGGACACCACUUCUCCCCCAGCCCUCCUGAUGCACGCGUGGAUGAGCGCCGUCUUGCCAGACUUGUCCUGGAUGUUGGGGUCUGCCCUGUUGUCCAGCAGGAGGAGCCUGGUCAGCCUGAGCCUUCCUAGCCACACCGCCUUUAGGAGUGAGUUUCCAUCGGUCCUCAGCUCCGUGUCGUCGUCCAUCAUGCUGGCCUCAGCGCCUCCGAGCCACCGUGGCGAUCAGACCUAGCAAGGGAAGAAGAGAGAAGAAUGUCGUGUGCUCUGUAGGUGACCUGAGUGGUGUGGCUGGUACAGGGCUGGAUGCAGUCGUAUCCCACCUGGUCCCAAGUGAUGCCAGGUGAUCCGGCUUGUCUGCAUCUGUUUCCUCAUCUGUGAUGUGUGUGGGGGAAGGGGGGUCAGGGGGAUGAUGGCAGCGCCUCAUAGAGCCAGGGUGGAGCUCGAACAAGAGCACGUACAGAAAACCCUCACCACAGUAAAGCAGCUGACCCGGGGCUAGCGCAGAGUAAGCAAGACAAACGGCCGUCGCUGGGCUCCCCGCCCGAUGCUUACCUGAAAUGUCGUGUGGGAGACCAUGCUUCGUGCCUGUGGGCACACCAGCGUCACAUCCCACAAGGAAAGGUGUGUGUCUGCCUUGUUCGCUGCUGUAGCCCCAGCACUGAGCAGCGAUACACACCUCACGGGUCACUUCGUAAAGGAUCGUUCACUGCAUUGUUCUGCCAGCAGGAAACACACCAGAAUGGUUGCAGUCGCUACUUUUCCAGCAGAUGUCAGAAUCCUCUCCAUCCUCCUCCUAGUCUUCCAGAACGAUGCCACACCACAUCCUUCCCAUGAACAGCACUCUUCAUGUUUCUGACUGCAAGACCUCCUGCUCUUCUUUAAUUAUUCAUCAUCCUGCAAACCUCAGCUCAAAUGUUACUUCCUUUUUAAUCAAGAGGAGAAUCACUCAGGAUCGAAGCAGGAGGGCGGAGUGAGAUUACAACUGACUCAUACCCAGGCUAUAUAAAGAACUCCCACAAAUCACUUCCUCCAAAAGAGGAUACGCAAAUGGCCAAUAAGCACAUAAAAAGGUGCUCAGCCUCAUUAGUAGUCAGAGAAGAUCAAAUUAAAGCACAAUGAGAUACCACUACACAUGGUGUCUAAUUCAACGUGGCUGAAAUUAGACCGGCUGGUCUAAUACCAGGGAUGGAUCAGGACGCAAAGCAACUGGAACCUGUUGGUGGGGGCAUAAACCAGCCCUCCAACCCGGUGAUUCCAUGCCCGGGCUUAUAUCUGUGGUAGACGGAAAAGCGUGGCCACAAAGUCCUCCCAUCCCCGAGCACCUGCAAAGAGAUACUGCCCCUCCUCCCGUCGAGACCUGCUUUGACCAAGGAAACACAGCCCGAGUAACCGUGUGUGACUUGCGAGGCAAGGCCUCUUGCAGCUUCCGAUUUCCUACCUUGUAAAGACACGUGGGCUGUCCUGCCAGCAAGAACACAUGGAGCCCCAGCUGACCAGCCCCGCUGACCGCCACAGUGUGAGCCAGCCGGCCCCCAGCUGGGUACAACUGCGGGAAGGAACCCAGGUGAGGCCGGCGGAAGUUUCCAGAGCCUGGUCCAAGUUGCAGAAAUGUGCACGAAUAAGUGGUUAUUGUUCUAAGCCACUCAUUUUGGGAUGGUUCAUUCACAUCAAUAAAUUACCAGUAAAUCCGUGUAGCCAAACAUGUACAAAAAUGUUCCCAGCAGCACUAUUCAUAAAAAGCAAAACUAGAAACAGCCCACCAAGGAGAAAAUAAACUGUAGUGUAUUCAUAUGCUGGAAUGCUUUACACGAUCUUUGCAUUCUCUCUCUUUCUCACACUCACACACAGUACACAGACGCU